rnacentral:sRNA from 1 species
UGGAAUAGUUUAUUCGUUGUGUUAUUGGAUCUCGCUUGGAGCCUUAUUUGUUUACUGCUAUUAGUUUCUGAACCUACCAAGGAGUAUGAAAUGCAGGAUGGGACCGGAUGUUAAGGAGUCAUCUCAACAACUUUCCCGUUCAUCCAUAUAUGGUUCUAGAAUGGCCGCUGAGCCACACAAACCAACUCUCGCGGACGUGGUGACAGGGGAUGAGAACAAAUCUAUAUUGGAUACUGAGAGUUCGGUCAAGAAGCAAGCCUCGAGAAGAAGGCAAUACAAGAGCAGCAAGAAUAGGAAUAAAAAGAAGGCAAA